rnacentral:misc_RNA from 1 species
GAUGAAGAACGUAGCGAAAUGCGUUAAGUAAUGCGAAUUGCAGAAUCCGUGAGUCAUCGAAUCUUUGAACGCACAUUGCGCCCUUUGGUAUUCCGAAGGGCAUGCCUGUUCGAGCGUCAUUAUCACCACUCAAGCCCGGCUUGCUGUUGGUGGCAGCGCAGCCGGUCAACCGGCUACGCUCCACCCAAAGAUAAUGACGGCGUCUGCGAGGACUCCUGUACAUUGAGCUUUCGGGCACGUACAUGGCUAGAAGUCCAGGCGCCGGUCGACGUCCUCCGGGACACUUUUUACCAAGGUUGACCUCGGAUCAGGUAGGGAUACCCGCUGAACUUAAGCAUAUCAAUAAGCGGAGGA